rnacentral:misc_RNA from 1 species
GGACAUAGAUUUGGCCAAUUUUACCAAAUUCUUGAUUUGGGGCUUUGGAUGAUACUUGCAAAGACAGUAUGGAUUUUUCACCUCUCGUUGUCUCUCCAAGGUAGUAUUGACGUUUAAAGUGUGAGUAAUGGGGGAAUGUCAAACAAGAAAACUGAGGGAGGAAACCACACAAGCAAAUAGGGUAGGGUCUAUUAGAAUUGUGCUGUGUGAUCUUAACCAGAGCGAGAUCCAUAUAAAUCAUGAACUGCAGUAGCUUAUUGGCAGCAAGUACUGACUAUUUUUUCCUAAUUUCAACAAAUCAGGCUAAUAAUAGUAUGCAUCUAGUUGAAAGCUGAAAGAGAAUUAGUAGAUGAUAAUGCAGUGAAUCUAAAUUAAUCAUUUGAAAAUUAAUAUAGCAUGUAAUGCAUAACAAUUAUAUUGUGUAAAAAGAUAGUUAAGAGAAAAUUGAAUGUACAGACACAAAUCAUUAGGGAAUCCUGUUUAGACGUAUACAAUGUCUUGAUUCCAUUACAUGAGCUCGAGUAGCAAUGAUUUUAGUUUGGCU